UUUCCUUUGAGUUCUCUUCUUCAACUUGUCGCUUAUAGUGAUGCUGGUUGGGCCGGCUGCCCCGAUACGCAUCGCUCCACCACUGGAUGGUAUAUGUAUCUGGGUGAUGCACUGAUUUCCUGGAAGUGUAAGAAACAAGAUCGAGUUUCAAAAUCAUCCACUAAAGCUGAAUAUCGUGCUAUGUCCUCGGCCUAUUUCGAAAUUACUUGGCUACGUGGCUUGCUCUUUGAACUGGGAUUUGCACAACCCGUCCCUACUCCCCUGCAUGCUGAUAACACGAGUGCUAUUCGAAUUGUGGCUAAUCCAGUUUUCCACCAGCGUACUAAGCAUAUAGAGUUUGAUUGUCACUCAAUUCGAGAAGCUUUUGCAAACAACAUCAUUACCCUUCCUCACAUUUCUACAAAUCUUCAAAUUGCGGAUGUUCUCACCAAACCUCUCACUUGCGCUUGGCAUCAGUUCUUCGUAAACAAAUUGAUGCUACUUAAUUCUCUAGCAUCAAUUUGAUGGGGGGUGUCAACGAUAUCAGCAAUGAAUAUCAUAGAUACCGGCAGACCUUCACCAGAUUUCUGAAUAUCACAUUUGUACAUACCAUAUUUAGACAUCCUUGUAAUAUUCUCUUGUAAAUGACCCCUAACUUGGGGAUCUAGAUUGCUGUAAAUAAGGUAGAAGAUCUAUAUUAUGGACAGGAGAGCUCUUAGAUAGAAAACAGAGAAAUUCACCACAAA